ACAUGCAAGUCGAGCGGUAAGGCCUUUCGGGGUACACGAGCGGCGAACGGGUGAGUAACACGUGGGUGAUCUGCCCUGCACUUCGGGAUAAGCCUGGGAAACUGGGUCUAAUACCGGAUAUGACCUCAGGUUGCAUGACUUGGGGUGGAAAGAUUUAUCGGUGCAGGAUGGGCCCGCGGCCUAUCAGCUUGUUGGUGGGGUAAUGGCCUACCAAGGCGACGACGGGUAGCCGACCUGAGAGGGUGACCGGCCACACUGGGACUGAGACACGGCCCAGACUCCUACGGGAGGCAGCAGUGGGGAAUAUUGCACAAUGGGCGAAAGCCUGAUGCAGCGACGCCGCGUGAGGGAUGACGGCCUUCGGGUUGUAAACCUCUUUCAGCAGGGACGAAGCGCAAGUGACGGUACCUGCAGAAGAAGCACCGGCUAACUACGUGCCAGCAGCCGCGGUAAUACGUAGGGUGCAAGCGUUGUCCGGAAUUACUGGGCGUAAAGAGUUCGUAGGCGGUUUGUCGCGUCGUUUGUGAAAACCAGCAGCUCAACUGCUGGCUUGCAGGCGAUACGGGCAGACUUGAGUACUGCAGGGGAGACUGGAAUUCCUGGUGUAGCGGUGAAAUGCGCAGAUAUCAGGAGGAACACCGGUGGCGAAGGCGGGUCUCUGGGCAGUAACUGACGCUGAGGAACGAAAGCGUGGGUAGCGAACAGGAUUAGAUACCCUGGUAGUCCACGCCGUAAACGGUGGGCGCUAGGUGUG
rnacentral:rRNA from 1 species